ACAUGCCUACAACAUAGCGUUAAUGCACGGGAUCCCAUUAGAACUCCAUAGUUAAGUGCGCUCAGGAUAGAGUAGUAUUGGGAUGGGUGAUCGCCUGUGAAGUCCUAGUGUUUUACAUGCC
rnacentral:rRNA from 1 species